CGACUGCUGUUGGGAUUCAACCUCUUUCUCUCGGAAGACCAGAGGAUCGAAGUACCGCCGGAUGAUGAUGAUGUGGGAGAGGAGGGUCCUCCUCCGGUCGCCGUCUUUUGUUCACAGCCACCACCAGGGUUACGGGGUGA
rnacentral:ribozyme from 1 species